rnacentral:rRNA from 1 species
CUACACAUGCAGUCGAGCGGAUGACAGGAGCUUGCUCCUGAAUUCAGCGGCGGACGGGUGAGUAAUGCCUAGGAAUCUGCCUGGUAGUGGGGGACAACGUUUCGAAAGGAACGCUAAUACCGCAUACGUCCUACGGGAGAAAGCAGGGGACCUUCGGGCCUUGCGCUAUCAGAUGAGCCUAGGUCGGAUUAGCUAGUUGGUGAGGUAAUGGCUCACCAAGGCGACGAUCCGUAACUGGUCUGAGAGGAUGAUCAGUCACACUGGAACUGAGACACGGUCCAGACUCCUACGGGAGGCAGCAGUGGGGAAUAUUGGACAAUGGGCGAAAGCCUGAUCCAGCCAUGCCGCGUGUGUGAAGAAGGUCUUCGGAUUGUAAAGCACUUUAAGUUGGGAGGAAGGGCAUUAACCUAAUACGUUAGUGUUUUGACGUUACCGACAGAAUAAGCACCGGCUAACUCUGUGCCAGCAGCCGCGGUAAUACAGAGGGUGCAAGCGUUAAUCGGAAUUACUGGGCGUAAAGCGCGCGUAGGUGGUUUGUUAAGUUGGAUGUGAAAGCCCCGGGCUCAACCUGGGAACUGCAUUCAAAACUGACAAGCUAGAGUAUGGUAGAGGGUGGUGGAAUUUCCUGUGUAGCGGUGAAAUGCGUA